UACGUAGGGUGCAAGCGUUGUCCGGAAUUAUUGGGCGUAAAGAGCUCGUAGGCGGCUCGUCGCGUCGGCUGUGAAAACCUGGGGCUCAACCCCGGGCCUGCAGCCGAUACGGGCGAGCUAGAAUUCGGUAGGGGAGACUGGAAUUCCUGGUGUAGCGGUGAAAUGCGUAGAGAUCGGGAAGAACACCAGUGGCGAAAGCGCUCUGCUGGGCCGACACUGACACUGAGAGACGAAAGCUAGGGGAGCGAAUGGG
rnacentral:rRNA from 1 species